rnacentral:rRNA from 1 species
CCUACGGGAGGCAGCAGUGGGGAAUAUUGGACAAUGGGGGGAACCCUGAUCCAGCGACGCCGCGUGAGUGAAGAAGUAUUUCGGUAUGUAAAGCUCUAUCAGCAGGGAAGAAAGAAAUGACGGUACCUGACUACGAAGCCCCGGCUAACUACGUGCCAGCAGCCGCGGUAAUACGUAGGGGGCAAGCGUUAUCCGGAUUUACUGGGUGUAAAGGGAGCGUAGACGGCGAUGCAAGUCUGAAGUGAAAGGCGGGGGCCCAACCCCUGGACUGCUUUGGAAACUGUAUGGCUGGAGUGCAGGAGAGGUAAGUGGAAUUCCUAGUGUAGCGGUGAAAUGCGUAGAUAUUAGGAGGAACACCAGUGGCGAAGGCGGCUUACUGGACUGUAACUGACGUUGAGGCUCGAAAGCGUGGGGAGCAAACAGGAUUAGAUACCCUUGUAGUC